GGACAAUGGGCGGAAGCCUGAUCCAGCAACGCCGCGUGAGGGAUGACGGCCUUCGGGUUGUAAACCUCUUUCGCCUGUGACGAAGCGCAAGUGACGGUAACAGGUAAAGAAGCACCGGCCAACUACGUGCCAGCAGCCGCGGUAAUACGUAGGGUGCGAGCGUUGUCCGGAAUUAUUGGGCGUAAAGGGCUCGUAGGCGGUUUGUCGCGUCGGGAGUGAAAACCAGGUGCUUAACACCUGGCUUGCUUUCGAUACGGGCAGACUAGAGGUAUUCAGGGGAGAACGGAAUUCCUGGUGUAGCGGUGAAAUGCGCAGAUAUCAGGAGGAACACCGGUGGCGAAGGCGGUUCUCUGGGAAUGACCUGACGCUGAGGAGCGAAAGUGUGGGGAGCGAACAGGAUUAGAUACCCUGGUAGUCCACACCGUAAACGUUGGGCGCUAGGUGUGGGGUCCGUUCCACGGAUUCCGUGCCGCAGCUAACGCAUUAAGCGCCCCGCCUGGGGAGUACGGCCGCAAGGCUA
rnacentral:rRNA from 1 species